UUCACGAUAUGGGAACAGGAUUUCACUGUGACUUUUUAUACACGUUGGGAAUAUACUUUGAGCAUAGUCCCACCCUCUUAUUUCUACCCCUUCCUCCCAUGUAGUUCCCCUUCUACUUUUAUGUCUUCCUUUAAAAAAAAAAAAAAAAAACCCUAGAUUUUUUUUUCAUGAGAGACGUGUGAUAUUUGUCUUUUAUGUCAUGUCUCACUUAACGUGGGAUUCCCCUGCAGCAGACAGGGUGUUGCAAUGCUUCUGUGUGCUCCAGUGUGUACUUCUGUUAGAUCUCUCAUUGAAUCUGGAGCUCAGACUUGGCUAGACUGCCAAAGAGACUCUCCCCUAGCCAGGAGCCCCUCCUGCCUCUGCCCCUCCGGCGCGGGGCGGUAUGUGGGGCGUGUGGCAAGGGCACCCCUCUGUGUCUACCUCUUCCGUGGGCUGUGGGUGUCAGGGAUUUAGCUUAAGUCCUCAGGCUUGCAGGGACCUGGCUUGAGCCGUCCCUGCAGCCCCAGUUUGUACUUCUUUAUGGCAGAAUAAUAUUCCGUUCUCUAUGCCCGCCACAUCGCCCUUAUUCAUGCAUUUCUUGAGGGCCCCUGUGAUUAAAGCUGUAGUAAUUGUGAGGGGUAUCUAUGGUAUGGUAUGCGCGCUCAUUUUUCCAGAGGCUGCAGUGCCUUGGAGUCCCUCAACCUUGUGUAAGCCCCGCCCCCAAACACCACGUGCUCUCCGAAUUCGCUUUAUGUCUUCCCGGUGGCUAAGAAUUUUUUUCAUGUGUAUCUUGUCUGCUUGUUUACAUCUUUGAGAACUGUUCACUUGCCAAUUUUUGGUCCGACCUGUAUGUCCUUUUCUUUCUUUGAGAAACUGCCGCCCUAAACGUGGGCAUCACGGGACCUUUGGUAUAACAGUGCUCCCUUGACUUUAGACCUUGCCACAUAUUUUCUCCCCCCCCCCCCCUUUCAUUUCCCUCUUCGGUUUUAAAGCAACAUGGCAAUACUAUGGGAGGGACCCGGUCCCUCCUAAAGGAGCCACUUAAGGAGCAGAGCCUCUGAAACCUUCGCCUGUUUCCCCCGUCGAUUCGCUGAUGGAAAUGUGUGGCCCCUUUGCUGUUCUGUUCUGGGCAGGGUUUUUAGCUUUCAUUUUACCGGCCUCCUGGGUUGGAGACAGCUUCAGGUCUGCCUUCCUGUGACAGCAGGCUGCAGUGUGCACCUCUGCAGUUGUCCCUGAAGCCAUUCAAAGUACAGCCCUUUUCAGAGAAGGAGCAAGCCAGCAUUGGCAUUAAUCUGACUCCGCCCACUUUUCCUCUCUGGGUCUCUUUACAUAUUAGAUUUGCUGGAAAAUUUUGCAAGCUGCUUUUAUUUUGAUAUUUACCAUGUUAAACACGAGAUGAUGUAAAGGGCUGCUCAGAGUUCCCAGCUCGAGAACCAUCAGCUUCGGGAAUGAGCAACCGAACAGAACCCAAGUCCUAGCCCAGUAACCCUGGUAGUUCACUUCGGCGGUCAGGAAAAUGUGUUUGCUCUGCUCAGUGAGUGCAGGUUGGGCACUCUGGGACCAUAAAAGUAGUCGUGUUUCCCUUUCCUGUGUUCACGCACCCCUGAAGUACGCGUUUCUCAGUGCUCUACUUACUCCCAGUCUGGAUUAGGAAAGUAACUGGUAAUAUUUAAUCUUGGUCAUAGAAAGGAAAACACUCCAGCUACCUGUCUAUCUGGUAGAGGUUAUAAAACACAACAUUUUAAUAGCUUUCUUGUACCAAAAAAAUUACUUUUUAAGG
rnacentral:lncRNA from 1 species